CCUGCCUCUAAUGGCACCCACCAUUAAGUCGGAUCUCAGCAACCAUCUGCGUGGCAGGAGCUAUCACACUGGAGCCUCGCAGUAGCCAAGGAGAGACGCCAAUGAGGGAAUCAUUUUUCCACUUGGUGAAAUACAUUUUUGCCCCGUGAAAGCACGAGGAGGGCCUGUCUUGGAUAGGUGGAGUGGUCCUAGGUCCUACUAGAUGGAAACCUCAGGACUCGGAAGAGGUUCACCUUCGGAGCGAGUCCCCCUAAGGGGCUGGCCAGCCUCACGCCAGCUGCCUUCUUCUCAUGACAUGUGGUGUCCUCACAGCCAGCCGUAGGAUCUGCAUUGAGUUCAGCAAGCGGAGGCGACUUCCCCAGGGCCACACAGCCAUGGAGGGCUGCGGCUCAGUUGCUGACUGCUCCAGCUCACCCUCACGUCCAUGAGGUUUCUGCUCCAAAAUGCUAUUGCUAAGAAAAAUGUUCCAAACACGACCCAUUGGCUGACCACAGGUCUUCAUUAUAAAAGCAUCUGAAGGAGUUGCUGAA